CCAGAAGGACGUGCGGCACCACGGACUCACGCAGGCGCGUUCCAUCGCUCGUUCAGUAAACCUGUUGAACCUAGCGCUGUUAGACCCUGAGACCUCAGAAGAAAACACGUAGUUUCUGUUCUUGAGGGUAAGGUCUGAACCUGAACCGUGCACGAAACCACCCUCUCCUCCCUUGGCAUGCCUGCUUUGCUGCAGUCCACGGUGAAGGAGUUCUUCUGGCCCACAAAGGCCUGGGACAGCCCAGGGCCCCGUGUCACCACCUUGCUGGCAUCCGAGGAGAACUUGGGGAUGGAGCUGUAGCUGGAGCCACGGCUUGAGGAGGAUUUGGUCACGGUCUCCACCAGAACUGUGGAUGUUUCAUGAAGGCUGUGGCCUCCAGACAGCCGGGGACCUGAGGGACAGCGUGGGGUAAACACAAGCUGGGUCAGAGGCCUGCCUUCCUGAGGCAGCAGGCCCUCAGCCAGCACCAACAGCCCUGUGGGCCACAUCCCUUCCCCGCUGCGGCACCCAGAAUUCCUAGUGAGCCCGGCUGUGCACACAUCCUGAGACCCUGGGCCUCUGAUGGCUCCAGCCCUGGCACGGUCUGGGAACUCAAGUCCCAGGGUUAAGAGUCUUGCUUUAAAAAGGAACAUAUAUCCAACUGAUCCUUCACACUGCUUCCAAAAGUAAAGCUUGCUAAAUGUUUACUGAGCUUUGUGUUUUAGGAAACCAGAAACAUACGAAGAAAGUUAAGCUAAAGCUUGGGAGCCACUGCAGGGAAAAAUUAAUCACGUGACAGACAACAGUAAAGAAGAAGGACUUGAUUUUCAAAAAUGAUUCUCCGUGGUUCCACAGAAUGGUGUGCCGUGCAAGGUCAGGCCCACUUUAUUCCUGGUAAGUUGUCCGUGGAUUUUAGGUCAGACUAUGACUGAAUAUGAAUGGCUGCUGGAGUCAUCCAAGCUGGGUUGGGCUGCAGGCUGGGCUGGAGGGAUGUCCCCCACCCCGGGCACUCACCUGUGACUUUGGCCUUGAAGGGGCUGCCCACGAUGUGCUGGGGGCCACCGUACUUGAUGGCAAUGAGGUAGUUGCCAGGAGCCAUGGGAGUGUAAGUGACAACAUGGCCCUCAGGACACUCCCGACAGUCCAGCUGCACCUUGGAGGGGCCAUCGAUGGUGACAGACAAGGCCCCUGAGCCCGCAUUCAGGGUGUUGACAAUGAACUCUGAUGACACGCCUAGGGACCAGAGGUAGCAAGGCGGUAGGUUGGGCCCUAGGCUCCGAGAACAGACCUCUGCAAUGACUCAGCCCUCUGGGACAGGGCAGUACAGGACCAGAAGCUGAGUGCCCCAAUAUCGGACCCUCCUCCCUAGCCCCAGGCACUCACCAGUAGUGCCUCCCUCAAGUCCAGGACCAUAAGCUGACACCAAGCCUGGGUCCCCAGCCUGGCUCUGUUCCCCAACGCGGAUCUUGAAGGGACUGCCAGGGAUGUGGGCACCGUUGAACUUGACAUCAAUAGAGUGGACGCCGUUCUCGUGGGGGAUGAAGCGGAUGGUGUGCUUGUCUGUGGGGCGGAGGGUUGGUGAGUGAGCCUUUGUUCUUCCCCUCCCCGUCCCAGAAGGGCCUGGCAUGGGUGGGCAAGGCCAGGGUCAGCUCACCGCUGUCCAGCUCAGAGACGUAGCACUCCUCCACCGCACCCGAGGGCGUGUGCACCCUUGCAUCAAUCACACCCCGAGCACCAUUCAGCUGCACCGCAAAGGACGCCGGCUGGUUCACCUUGAGCCCUGUUUCCUGCAGAGGCCACAGCCAGUGCUCAGAAUCCUGGGAGGGUCUGGAGCACUGCUGUCUGCAGCCUGACACUGAUCCCAACCCCAGCCUGGCCCGGCUCAGGGAGGCUCUCACCAAGGCUCCCUUGGGAGGGGAGGGGGAGGCAGGGGCUGGGCCUAUGGCCUUGGCAUCUGCUAGGAGGUGGGCCCACUUGGCUGUGCUGGGCACAGUGGAGGAUGACAUGAUGUAUCCUGUCCUGACUAAAGAGAUAAGAUUCAAACACUAUAAAGCAGGUCAGUGCCCAGAGGCCCAGAGGAGGAAGGGUGUGGCCUAGACUGCCCUGGGGAGGCUCCCUGGAGGAGGUGAGUCACUGGGGAGGACUUGAAGAAGCACAAGGAGGCCAAUGGGGGUGGGAGUGUGAGAAGAUGAUCCUGGGGUGAGGCAUGGCACCCCCUGCUAUACGGAUACUGGGAAAGAGGGAGAGACAUCUGCCUGACUGUCUCUUCCAAGGUCACUGCUAAGCCCUGGACACAUGGACCUGCCUUCACCUCCUGCCUAUCUCUCAGGAUGGCAGAGGGGCCCCACCCCAUGGCAGAUACCUGGAGGCUGGUGACAGUGAGGCGGCGAGCAUCAUCUGAGAGGGAGGCCACAGGUACCACAAAAGGGCUAUCUGGUAUGUGUUCAUCAUUGAACUUGAUGGAGACCUCAUAGUCACCUGGGAAGAGAAGGCUGGUCAGGACAGGCUCCUUGGGCCAGGGCUCAGGUCUGGAGACAGACUCGCACUCCCAGGGGUGUGGGGUGGAGGAAGAUGGGGCAGAGAAAGAGCAGGGGCCCAGGUGAAGCGGGAGUUCUGUAGCCCAUCUCUGCUCUGGUCAGCGAGCAGAAACCCAGUCUGGAAGGUCAGGCAGGCCCAGCUCCCACCUCCAUCAUGGACACCCACCUGGUUCCUGGACAACAUAGGAGACCCCACAGGAGCCAUCUUUUCGGUCCUCAAAUGAAAUCUCCGCCUUGCUGGGACCCUCCACGGCAAUAGACAGGCCUCCAGCACCAGCUUCUCGGGUCCAAAUGCUGAAUUCAGCUGGGGACAGGGAAGCAGGGCAGAGGCAGUUCUUUAGCACGAUUGCCCAUCCUGCCAGCUGCCCUGCCCCCACCCCCUCUCCUGGACACCUGCCCCUCACCUGGCACACCGGCCACACCUCGCUCCAGUCCUGUGCCUCCAGCCCGCACUUUGUGGGCACCACCUUCACCCAGCGGCCCCACAGUGAACUGAAAGGGACUGCCAGGUACAUGCUGGCCGCGGUACUUGACGGUGACUGUAUGGGGCCCCAUUUCCUGGGGCACAAAACGCACACUGUACGCGCUGUCUUCUCCCUCGACAAUCUCUGCGGCUUCCAUCUUGCCCGAUGGGCUGGUCACCUGUGCAGUCAUGUCCUGGGAACUGGCCUCCCCUGCAGGAGGUGGGAUGGUUAGGCUGACGCUGGGGCUGCCCCCAGCCUUGGACCUUCCCUCCCUCCCUCAGUAAGACCCCUCCCCUUCCCAGAACACCCUGGCCAGUUGCCCGUGCCCUCCCCAUCCUGUCCCAGGGGACAGAAGGCCCAGCCUCCCUGUGAGGACCCUGGCCCAGCACGGCCCUGCUUACCCUCCUGCUGCCGGGUGAUGCUGCCAAAGGAGCCCAGGCGCUCCCGGCCCAAGAAGUCCCCGAAGACCGCGGGGAAGGGGUCUCCACCAACCUGGGUGGACUCCUCUACCCGCACCUCACGCUUGGUCUCUCCGCCGCGCGUCUUGCUGAUCUCCGUGCGUUCUGUGCGGGUGUAUGUGUGGCUGCUGCGUGUGAAGGUGCGCGUCAGGCGCUCCUGGGCAGACACCAUCUGGAACCAGUUCCCUGUGGGGCACGGAGCAGUGGAGGUGAGUGUGCCAGAAGGACGGGGCCCCGUGGGGUAGGCUCUGGGCCCGCUGCCCUCCCCCGAGCCCUGCCAGGCUCUUCCUGGCUCCUACCUGGGAUCUUGAGAUUGAGGUCACAGGUGCUGCCAAUGGUGGCAAUGGAAGGUGCCUGUCUCCGCCGCGUGAUGCUUUCCUUCAUGCGACCCUCACCGGUAACCUUCACAGUGAACGGGCUUCCUGGAGGGGGAGAGGCGGGGGGAGUGGAUGACUCAGACACCGGCCUCCCGGCCUCUCCCUGCCCAGCUGUGGCCCAAAGCUUACCAGGCACGUGCUUGUCAGCAAAUUUGAUGUUGAUGAUGUAGGUGCCAGGCUCAGUGGGGCAGUAGGUGACUUUGCAUGUGCCAUCUUCCAUGUCCUCACAGUUGAUGUCCACCUUGCUAGGGCCUUCAAUACUCAACCCCAGGCCCCCGUAACCUGGCAGGAAGCAAAGGACACGUGUCCCUCAGGCCCUGCCACCCUGCUCUUCCCACCCCCCCACUACAGGCUCUGUCUGGACCAGGCACCCAGCAUGUAUAACCACCAAUGAAAGCUGGCUCUGUGGGAGGAGGGGUAAGCCAGACACUGAACCAGACAGUCCAGGAUGGGCAGUAUGGAAAAUUCCCCCAGGUGGGCCUCUUGGGUUCCAGUGAGUGAGGGACAGUCAGAAACUUAAGAGAGCUGAACUUUCUCUUUUAACAUUUAAGAGAAAUGACCUGGAACAUGUGCUUUCCCUCAAAUGGACCCCAGAAUGGGAAGUCCAGGGAGGAGGCGAUGACUAAGGGCUGCUGGGCAGGAAAGUUCAAGUCCUUGUUGGAAGCACCAGCCAAAACAAGGGGUUUCUGGGGCGAGAAGCACCUGCGUUGCGAGUGUCCACGAUGAACUCCGCCACCUGGAAGGUGUGUCCCUCGGACAGGCCCUUGCCCCAGACCCGCACCUUGCUGGCAUCUCCGAUCUCAGAUGGCCCCACCAGGAUCUUGAAGGGGCUGUUGGUGACAUGCUUGCCACUUUUGCGCACGCUUACCACGUGCUCCCCAACCUCCUUCGGGGUGAAGGAGAUGCCUGUGGAAAGGGGGGUGGUCAGGCAUGGUGCCCAAGGCCUGGCAGAGCACCCCUUCCCAGCUCCUUUCAGGUCUUCCUCUUCCUGAGGCCCCUCCCCACGGCCCCACACUCACCAAUGUGCCUGUUGGGCAGGCGCUUCAAUAGGCAGGGCUCCUCGUUGCCUGAGGGGGCGCGGAUGCUGGCAGUCAGCAGGCUCAGGUCACUCUCCGUGAUCUUCAGUGACACAUCCGUGGAGGUGCCCACAUUGAGCUGUGAUGUCCUCAUUGAGUCAUCGCCUGGUGGGGGAGUUUGACAUGUCAGGCGGUUAGGACUCCAGGUAGCGUGUUCUCAUGGGGCUCAGGAGACUUCCUGGCAGACGCCACUGGACUCCACAGACCUGCCCACCCAAGGGGCAGAGAGGCCGAAGGCCCAAGAGAGCCUGGUCUUCAUUCACGUGUUAGCUGCCAAAGCUUCCAGACGGGCCCCCUACCCCAGCUGCCUUGUGGAUGCCUCCGGCCCAAAUGGGAUAAAUCCCUAAUCUGUGUAUUUUAAUCGCAAGUCACACAGUUUCAUGGAACCAAAACACUAGACCAGUCGGCACGGAUCCCUUACUUGCUAUGUGGCUCUGAUCGAGUUGCUUAGCCUCUCUGGGCCUACCAAUCUAUCAAGGAGGUUUAUCAGUAUCCUAACUUCAUUAAGAGUUACUCCAAACACUGAGAUGAUGUAUUUCAAAGCCUGAGGAGUGGAUAUUCCUCACCUGCUACAGGGAAUGGAAUGUUCCUGAUAUUUGUACAAAAAUGCCCUCUUCCACCCAGAGGGGCCCCUACGCUAACAACCCUUGAUUACUUGAACACACUGGUCUUGCACAUCCAUCGUGUGCUGGGGGCAUAUACUGGAGGCCUGGGUGCCUACUUCCACCUCACCUGUGAUCUUGGCCGUGAAGGGGCUUCCUGGGAUGUGCUUGUCAUCAAAGCGCACGAUGAUGCUGUAGUCUCCAGGCGCUGUGGAGGGCUUCAUCGUCCUGCAGGGCCACCUUAGGGGUAUGUAUAGGGACAGUGGGCCUGAGGAUCAGAGAAGAACAUGGCAAGUUCCUCCAGAGAGAGCCGACCAACCACUGGAGGGGCCAGAAAACGGGCUGUGCUCAACUCCCAAGUUGGGAGGCUGUGGGAAAUCAAUGGCUUGACUCUGGAACACUCUGGGCCCAGAAUCUAUCAGGUGUGCGGACAGGUUCGUGAUUCCUUGCCGCUGCUAAGAGGGCCCAUCUCCCCAGCCAGUGUUCAGGGCCUUGGAACUUACCAGCACGUGGAAGGGGCUGUUGGGGAUGUGCUCGCCUCCAAAGCGGAUGGUGAUGACGUACUUGCCCGGCUCGGGCGCUGUAUAGUAGAUGUCAAAGGUACCAUCGUGGUUCUCAACCACAUCCACGUCGAGCUCCGCCCCAUCCGGAGUGGAUACCGUGCACGUCACCUUCCCCUUGCCUGCCGCCUUGGCGUCCACCGUGAUCACUGUCUCCUCCCCGAUCUGGAUGCGGGGUCCCAAGCAGGCACCUGCCACCCAGAAGAGCCAAGCCAGGUUGAAGGUCUCUGGGGGCUGUGCUCAGUCCCUCUCCAUUCCCAGCUGCCCCUGCCACCUCAGCCCACAGUGAGAAGAGAAGAAAAAGGGCACUCACCCAGGCCAUGGCCUCCAAUGGACACUGGAAACAGAGAAGAGUGUGAGGCCACGUAGCUGGUAGGACACAGUGUACGUGCCAUCCCCGUUGUCUCGGAUGUUGGCUUUCUUGGGCUUUCCCUCCGGGUCCUGGGGAAGAAGCAGAGGUCAGGGCCUGCCUGUACCCAAACCCUGACCGGGGAAGUGUACUACACAUGGACUCACCAGGAUCUGGACGCAUGCCUAAGCUCUGCAAUAACAGAAGACACGACCUGCCCAAGCAGCUCAGCCCUGUUCUUUGCGGACAGCGCGAGAAGGCACGAGAGAGAGGCUCUCCUCUGCCGGCGAGAGUGGCCUGGACUGUGCCUGAGUGACUGAACCCGUGAGGUCUGGCGCUCCAGGCAAAGGGCCGGGACGCCAGCCCUGGGCCUGUGGGAAUGAACCGAAGGGUUGUCCCAUCAGCAACGAUCACUGCCCUGCCUCUUGGCCACAGCCUCAGCAGCCACACGUUGUCACUGAUGCCUUCCCUGCACAACCCUCCCCCGCCACCCACUCUCUCUGCACACCUGGGAUGGGCCGCCCCCCAAAGGUGAUGUUGACAUCGUAGUCUCCAGCGGUGAAAGGGAUGUACUCCACGGUACAGCUACCAUCUUUGUUGUCCUUGCAGGACAUCUUGGCUUCUGAGGGGCCCUCGAUGGCUAGGCCGAGGCCUCCGGUGCCAGCUCCCCUGCAAGGCAACACCUUUCUCAGCUCUGCUAGGAACGGUCACAGGCAAUGCAUGGAAAUCAGCCUGCCACAGAACACUACCAGUGGCAAUGAACCCAGACCUUGCUACUGAACACGGGCCAAAGAAGAGUGAUCUCAGACUGCCACGGAACACAUAAAAUGGCAUAGGACCCAACGGGAUGCCACAAAACAGGCAAGGACGUAUAAUCCAGGCCUACCACAGGACACAGGCAAUGGCACAGAACCUGGGGCCCGUCACAGAAUGCCACGGAAGGGGGGCAAUUCCACACUGCCUGGGCCAUUCCACACAGCACAGGUGAGGCCAGUCAGCUGUGGCCAUGCUGGCCCCACCUCCCCUGGACAGUACUAACGUGGCACCACUUUCUUGGCCUGGUGGAUGAUGGGCACGGAGGGGACGUGUGACGGCAAGGGCUCUGAGCGGCAGGGAGAGAACCAAGUGGCGGGAGUCACCACCCGAGGGCCUGGGGUAUGGGUGCCCAUCACAUAUGCCCCCGCAACCCUUGCAAGGUGGCACCUGUCUGUAUACUUUGCUGUGGUCUCCGGACCCUCCCUGGGAUAGUAGGUGGAGAGAUGACCAGGAUGAGAUCUCUCCAGAGCUACCCCCUGCCCCCGCCCCAUGGAUAUUCUACCUAUUUUAACGCCGGCUCCCCUCCCACCCCUGGAUUUAGUGGUUCGUUUCCCAUAAACCCUCAGCCCCGGAAUUUGGUGGCAAUUCUCUCUGUGUCCUGGCCUCAGGGAGGGUGACUGUGGGGCUGGGUGAAGGGCCUUUUACCUUCAGCUACAUGGACGGGGAAAGGACUGCGGGUGAUGGGGGCACCAGCGAAGGCCACAUGCACCGUGUGGGGCCCCUCCAUCACAGGCCUGUACGUGCAUCGGAACGUGCUGUCGCCCUUGUCCUCCAGGGCCACCUCCACUGUGUCCCGCCGGCCCUGCGGGUCCACGAUCACCACGGCGACAUCACCAGUGCCGGCCCCUGCCAUGCACAAAAAGCCGUCAGCAACCCCCUCUCUGGACACAAACAGCUGCUCCGGGCUCCCUCACUCUGGGACCACCCACCCUCUGGCUGAGACCCUGCCCCUGUCCCCCAUCCACAUCACCCAUGUAGUCAUGCGCUGCCCACCUGACAUCCCCCUAGGGCCCAUCCUUACCCGCAGUAUAGAUGUCAAAGUACGUGGGUUUGUUGGCCACAUUGCCCACAGGCUCCAGGCCAGGGCCACGGGCUGACACCUUGUUGGCAUCUCCCAGAGCCAUGCCCACGUUCACCUCAAAGGGACUGCGUUCGAUAUUCUGGCCAGCAAAGAGCACAGUCACCUGCAGAUCAGGGGCCAAAUGUUAGCCUCUCGGGGAAAGCAGUUCUUUUGAGAGGGGGUGGAUGGGCAGGGCGCAACCGAGGCUGGGGAGAGGUGGGCUGCUGGGCAUGCUGGGGUGGGCUGCGAGCUGACAGAGGGCUCCACGACGACAGAGCCAAGGACGUGAGCGGGAUGGGGAGGGUCGGCAGGGAGAUACCUUGUGCAACCCCGCAACCUUGGGCACAUAGGAGACAGCAUAGGUGCGGUUCUUGUCAUUGUUGGGAACCACUUUGGCCUAUUGGGAAGGGAAAAGACCGGAAGUCACAGAGGCUGCAGCCCCUCCUGACCCCACAGUGCCUGGCAGCACCCACGGUGAUGCUUCCCCCAGAACCCGGCCUAGUAGUUAAUUCUGGCAGCCAUCUCCAGGCCAGUCCUGCUAGCAGCCCGUGGUCUCUGGUUCGAAGCCCAUGCCAUUCCCUCUCGUCCUCAGCAGCUCUCCAUACCUCCUCGGUGUGGCCCUCAGGGUCCUCAAUGUAGACCAGCACCUCGCCCACGCCGGCAUCCACCGUCUGCACGGUGAAGUGGGCAGGCUGUAGCACAGUGUUGCCGUGGGGCUCGAUGCCUGAGGGACAGACGGCAGAGCCAGGUUACUUAGGAAGACCCAUCCUAGGAUGGACCCAACUGCCCAGGGAAGACCGGCAGGGACUCGACACGUACCAGGCCCGUAGGCGAUGGCCUUCUUGGGGUUCAGCUGUUUAGAGCGAACAGGGGCACCAGGUUUGAGUUUGGCCUUGGGGAACUGGGACAGGUAGGUCAUGACAGAAUGCUCAUCCACGUUGGGGUCCACAAUCUCCUCGGGGGCAAUCACCUGCCACAGGGAAGAAGGGAGUUACAGGGUGCCCUCUACCCAGUGACUUCGGUGCUCUCCCCCCUCUUGACCGGGCAUCCUCAUAGACCCAACCUCCGUCCUGGCCCUCCUGGCCCCCUACUCUCCCCCACCCUCUUUGUUCGUGUACCUGGGGCACCCCGAGCCAGUCGUCCGCCUGCUGCAUGGCCUCCCGGGCGUUCUCCACAGGCUGGUUGGGGUCCCAGGCUUCCCAGUCAGGGCACAGGCCUAGAGAGAUGGUAGAGGGAGACGAUGAGUAGGGGAAGGCAGCCAGUCAGAAUGCAGAGCAUCUGCUCACCCGACACCCUCACAGGCUGCGGGGUCACGCCUGCUGCCGCGCACCUCUGGGCCCCUGACCAGCCAGGUUCUUGCUACCCCCCUAUGUUACGGACCAUCGCUGGGAUGCCCAUCGCCAUUGGGAGGCGCGGCAGCCCUCCCUAGCACCAACAAUGAGGCCUUUCUGCCCUGGCUGACGCAGCCUGGCACCAGCCCUGCCAGUCAGCCUUCUGCCGGCCCAGGCCCCAGCGCAGACCCUGUCAGGACCGCCCCCCUCCCAGUCCUUCCUGCCUCACUCCUGCUGCCUCGGGACAGCAGGUUCCAUCCUGCACAUGCCUCUGACGCCAUCCUCUACGAGGUCUCCUCACAGCCUCCCUCAAGUCCUAGAGCUCCAAACACUUCCCACGUCAGCCUUAGAGCCUAAGACACCCUCUCCUUCCUCAUUACCCACUUGGGGAAACUGAGGCACAUAAGGGCAUGUCAUGAGAGGAUAGGUUCUCCUCUGUGGCCACCCAAAACACAGCUCUCCUAACGGGAAGAAUGCUGAGGCAGCUCCAGAUCACUCCUGUCAAGGGGUGCAAAGGUCAGGGGGUGCCUGGUCCAGGCCAGAGCUGGAGGAGGGGUGAUGCUCACUGGCUGGGAGGGGGCCAGCUCAAAGGCUGGAAUCCAUGACCGGCCGGAACAGCUGAGCUCACUUCUGGCGGCCUCACCAGCUGUGGGCAAUGGCUCAGCAGCUGGGAAUGCUUCCCAGGCGGCUGGUGCCCCCGCCUCCCACCCCCUGCUCCCCAGCUGACCCCAGACUGGGGAGGAUUCUCCCAAGGGGCCAUGGCUCCCCAGAGGCAGAGCUGACCGACUCAGAUUAGAAGGCGAUCUAUCUUCUUGGGAGGUGAUAGUCAGAAGGGAAGAUGCAUAUAGGGCAGGGCUCUAGCCAGUCAUGGCCUCAGUCUUCUCAUGGGCCCUGACUGCCCCCCCACCUGACCGGGCCAGGGCCUACGUUUGAGAGGACAGUGUUGGGCCACCUGUCACUGGGCAGCAGCACACCAGCCUCAGUCCCUCCUCAAACCUCUCCCAGAGCCUCACAAAGAAGAACCUUCUCAGGGUCUGACUUCUGGGAUUCUUGCUACAAGUCCUACCAUAUUUCCUUUCUCUCAGCUCAGCAGAAAUGGUACCCGUAUGGCAAAGUAGGACACUCAUGGAGCAGGAAGUUGAGACCUUGGGCUCAAGUUCAGUUCUGCCACAGAUAAACUGUGUGAUCUUGGACAAAUCACUGGCCCUCUCUGGACCUCAUUGCCCUUGUCUGUAAAAUGAGGAAUUCUGAACCUUUUGCUGCAAGCUGCAAUAUCUGUCACACCCGCAGGAAGGGCCUGUCACCAGCAAUGACUCUCAGUUGGAGCAGAGGGCAAGCCCCACAGGCCGUCCUGAUCCCCCAGCCCGGAGAUAUGCAUUCUGACAGCCACAGCCCUCAGCACCACCAGCGAAGGGCUCCAUGAUGGGCCCACUGGUCCACUUACCAGGGGCACAGUUGUCCACCAGGGCGCCCAGAGCUUUGCCAUCCUGCCAGUCACGGUUGAAGUUAGUGAUGGGCAGCUGGGGCACCUUGUUCUGGAUCCAGCCGAGCAGACGCUGCUUGGGCGUCUGCUUGCGGGCGUCCUCGUCCUCCUCAUCCUCCCACAUGGGCAUGGAGAUGGAGUAGUGUAGGAUCAGCGUCCAGAUCAGACCCAGGAUCAGCUUCAGGUUCCCAUCCACAAUGGCCUUGCUGUCUGCAGAGUGGAGGGGACACGCUGGGCUCAGCGAGGGGGCUGCCCUCCACAGCUCAGCUCACGAGGCAGCUGCUAGAGCAGAGGGGGUCAGGCCUCCCGCUUUCGGAACCUGCCCCCUUCUCUGCCUACCGAAUUCUCACCCUCCAGCAAGGCCAAGGCCGCGCCCAGAGGCCUAACGUUUUGGGUCUGCCUACAGCGUGCCCCACGGCAGGUACUUUCACCUGUGGAACAGCGCGUGCGUGGGCCUCCAUCCGGCUACAGGCCCCCUGGCGAUCAUCCGGGAUUGUAAGCCUCUGCGGGGGGGCUGUGCCGUUUCAUUUUUUAAGUUUUAUUGAGGUGUGCCUGACACACAAGCUGCACGUAUUAAACUGGACAAGCUUUGACAACA